UACGAAGGGGGCUAGCGUUGUUCGGAAUUACUGGGCGUAAAGCGCACGUAGGCGGAUAUUUAAGUCAGAGGUGAAAUCCUGGAGCUCAACUCCAGAACUGCCUUUGAUACUGAAAGUCUUGAGUAUGGGAGAGGUGAGUGGAACUGCGAGUGUAGAGGUGAAAUUCGUAGAUAUCGAGAGGAACACCGGCGGCGAAGGCGGCCAACUGGACGAACACUGACGCUGAGACACGAAAGCGUGGGGAGCAAACAGG
rnacentral:rRNA from 1 species